UAUAAUUGAACACGUUGACCUCAGAUGCAUGUAUGAAAUACUGGCACGCUUGUGAGGUUGAAAUCAUCCCUAUCAUAAAUUUUACGGACGUCAUCACGAGUUGGUUGACCGUUAUGGAAUAUCCGUUUCACAGAAGAUAACGAUAUACAUAUUUUUAAAAAGUCCAGUUCGGGACAAGUAAAUUUAUUGCAAUAAUAGAAAGUGCCGAUGUAAUGUUGGCGAGGUCAAAUAAUUCAGUAACUUGCUAAGAUUCUUUGUUUGUCUCUUCGUAUACCAUAAUUUAUAGUUUUCCGGCAAAAGUGAACAAAAGUGUAUUGUAAUUAAUCUUAAUUAUUUGAAAAAAAAAAGCCAAUUGAAAAAAAUAGGAAAUCAAGAUUUGUGCCUAAAACGUUUUAUUUUUGACACAAACAGACAAACGAACGUUUUUGUUAGGACACGUUCAUUUUUCAAGAUUUGCAAGAUUUUAUUUGUUUGACUUAAAACAUUGAUCUCGAGUACACCUGGCGAAGAUUAUUUCACAAACAUGCUUCAUGAUUCAUAAUCGCGUAAGGUUGAAUGUUGAUUAGCAGCAGUACAAAAUUAAAGUUUUUUUGCGCGCGUCGGGAUUUUAACGAUAAAUUCUAAAAUUGAGAAUGGAAAUAGGGAAUAUGUCAAAAA
rnacentral:lncRNA from 1 species